rnacentral:rRNA from 1 species
UACAGAGGGUGCAAGCGUUGUUCGGAAUCACUGGGCGUAAAGCGCACGUAGGCGGAUUGCUAAGUCAGGGGUGAAAUCCUGGAGCUCAACUCCAGAACUGCCUUUGAUACUGGCGACCUUGAGUCCGGGAGAGGUGAGUGGAACUGCGAGUGUAGAGGUGAAAUUCGUAGAUAUUCGCAAGAACACCAGUGGCGAAGGCGGCUCACUGGCCCGGUACUGACGCUGAGGUGCGAAAGCGCGGGGAGCAAACAGG